AGAAAAUAUUAAGGGCAUUUCAGUCUUUGUAAUAACAUAAUUUACGUGUCUCUUUAAUCGUUCACUUUGUAUGGCGACAUGUACAUUGCAGAUCAUUCCAACAUAUUAGUAGUUGUUUUCGUUUCUUUCUUUAUACUUUGUUUCUCCAGUCUCCAUAGACCCUCUCAGAAUUGUGUGUUCUUGCUCUCAGGGGUGUGCGUUCUAGCUGCAGGUAUGGGGCCGAAUUUGACCAACCACGUUCUUCAAGCCAGCACGACCGACCGAGUGUGUGCAAGUCCGGCUAGAAGGGCGACCUAUGAGUAAUAAGAGGGACGACUUCAUGAUCACGUCGGCCACUCCAUAGCAUGCACUUUAUUUUCUGCUUUUUAAUAUUGGAGCAAGGAUCCUCUAUUAUAUAAAGAGGGAUCCAAGCCUUGUAAAAGGGGGGUUCAUUACUGGAAGUACAUUCUCUCUCUUUCUUCUGUCUCUUACCUUUCAAAAAGUAUCACCUUCUCUCAUUAAUCUAAUUUAUACUAUUGUCAUCUGA